GAUGAACGCUAGCGGCAGGCUUAACACAUGCAAGUCGAGGGGCAGCAUGAGACGGAGAUUCGUCGAAGUCUUGAUGGCGACCGGCGCAAGGGUGCGUAACGCGUGAGCAACUUGCCCGUUUCUGGGGAAUAACCGGUGGAAACGCCGACUAAUACCCCAUAGCAUAUUUAGGAGGCAUCUUUUUGUUAUUAAAGAACUUCGGAAACGGAUAGGCUCGCGUGACAUUACGCUAGAUGGCGGGGUAACGGCCCACCAUGGCGACGAUGUCUAGGGGUUCUGAGAGGAAGGUCCCCCACACUGGAACUGAGACACGGUCCAGACUCCUACGGGAGGCAGCAGUGAGGAAUAUUGGUCAAUGGUCGGAAGACUGAACCAGCCAAGUAGCGUGAAGGAUGAAGGUUCUAUGGAUUGUAAACUUCUUUUAUACGGGAAUAAAACCUCCACGUGUGGGAGCUUGUAUGUACCGUAUGAAUAAGCAUCGGCUAACUCCGUGCCAGCAGCCGACGG
rnacentral:rRNA from 1 species